rnacentral:tRNA from 1 species
GCGGGUGUAGCUCAAUUUGGUUAGAGCGCGUCCCUGUCACGGACGAGGCUGCGGGUUCAAGUCCCGUCACUCGCG